AUGAAGUCUCGCUCUGUCGCCCGGGCUGGAGUGCAGUGGCGCUAUCUCGGCUCACUGCAACCUCCGCCUCCCGGGUUCAAGCAAUUCUCCUGCCUCAGCCUCCCGAGUAGCUGGGACUACAGGCGCCUGCCACCACGCCCGGCUAACUGUUUGUAUUUUUAGUAGAGACGGGGUUUCACCAAGUUGGCCAGGAUGGUCUCAAUCUCCUGACCUCUUGAUCUGCCCACUUCGGCCUCCCAAAGUGCUGGGAUUACAGGCAUGAGCCACCGCUCCUGGCCCAUAAUCAAUUCUUAAAACCAGAUUUCAAGUUGAAACUUCUCCCUUCACCUGUGUGGGGCCUUCAGCAGCCAGAAAGCCAGGUCCACGUUGUCUUUAUGAGCUGUAACACUCACCGCGAAGGUCUGCAGCUUCACUUCUGAAGCCAGCGAGACCACGAACCCACCAGGAGAAACGAACAACUCCAGACGCACCGCCUUAAGAGCUGUAACACUCACCGGGAAGGUCUGCAGCUUCACUCCUGAAGCCAGCGAGACUAUGAAGCCACCGGAAAGAACGAACAACUCCAGAAACACCACCUUAAGAGCUGUAACGCUCACUGCGAAGGUCUGCAGCUUCACUCCUGAAGCCAGCGAGACUACGAACCCACCGGAAGGAAUGAACAACUCCAGAAACACCACCUUAAGAGCUGUAACGCUCAGCGCGAAGGUCUGCAGCUUCACUCCUGAGCCAGCGAGACCACGAACCCACCAGAAGGAAGAAACUCCGAACACAUCCGAACAUCAGAAGGAACAAACUCCCGACACGCCACUUUUAAGAAUUGUAACACUCACCGUGAGGGUCCGCGGCUUCAUUCUUGAAGUCAGUGGGAUCAAGAACCCACCAGUUCCAGACACAUUACUAGCUCUCUGCCGCCAUUUUACUACCAUGAUUUGUUCCAGGCUCAAAGCGGGAGGAGGAGGAGGGAGAAAGGGAGAAAAGCUCUUAAUUGAUCGUCUCAGAGGGCAGAUUCUUUUUUCCUGGGCUAGGUUGUGAUAUUUAAAGUUACCUCUCUCCCUUGUUUGAAGCUCUCAUGGGGUCUUCAGAGACACCGCCGCCUCCAUGGCUGGGGUUGUUUGUUGAGGUUCCUUUGAUCAGCUCUGUCUCAAAACUCUGCUGCUCCCCGCUCAGGCCUGAGAGUCCCUCUAGGUGGCCCUGUUGGACAGGAGCUAAGCCUCCUCUCAGUCUCUUCCUUUCUCUCUCUCUCUCAACCAACCCAGGCCCAUCUCUUUUUCUAGGAGGGAGUCAAACACCAGUCACCAGCACCGGGCAGGGAUGGGGCGAAGCCCCGCCGACAGAGGGCGGAGGGCUGGGAGGGGCUUUCAGCCGGUCCUGACUUUUUGGUAUGGAGAAUGGCUCCUCCCUGUUCUGGGUGGCUCGGUCACCCUGGAGAGUCCUGCACCAGCUCUAACAUUCCAGGUUUUUUCCUUGGCCGCCAGGAGAGCUGGGCCCGCCCUCCCUUCUGAGCUCCCCUCCGGCUCCUUUCGGCUCCCUGCCCGUGUGGUCCUGCACUCAGGCCCCGUUCAGAAGGUCAGCCUAAACCAGGACCGGAGGGCAACUCCUGCCCUCCAGCUUGGCACCUCAGUCAUGAAGGUGGCAUUUGAGUCCAUCUCCUAUUAUGUUUUCAAUUUGUGCAGGACCUGGAGGGGGAAGAGAGGUGUUAUUUAUUGAGCCCCCUCAGAACUUCAACAUCGUCUUACCUCGAAAGUAGGCAGAGAGUGAUGUCAUGUGGCCACUUUUCGGAUUUCCCCUUUGAAGAUUUCUUAUUUUUUUAUGGCACAUGUCUUUGGCUUGUCAUAUAUAUUUUACCUUGGUGUCUUGGUGAGAGCUUCUUAUGUAAUAUUCUGAAAUGUGUCAUAUGGGAAAUAAAGCUUUUAGAGUUUUCUUGAGAA